rnacentral:rRNA from 1 species
AGUGGGGAAUAACACGACUAACGUCGAGCUAAUACCGCAUAUGUUCGCCUCUUCGGUGAGGUGAGUAAAGCAGUAAUGCGCUUGGGGAUGGGCCUGCGGCGGAUUAGGUAGUUGGUAAGGUAACGGCUUACCAAGGCGACGACGGGUAGGGGACCUGAGAGGGUGGACCCCCACAAUGGCACUGAAACACGGGCCAUACACCUACGGGUGGCAGCAGUAGGGAAUAUUGCUUAAUGUGCGAAAGCGCGAAGCAGCAACGCCGCGUGUGCGAUGAAGGCCUUCGGGUCGUAAAGCACUUUUCUGGGAGAUGAGAAAGGACAGUAUCCCAGGAAUAAGUCUCGGCUAACUACGUGCCAGCAGCCGCGGUAAAACGUAGGAGGCGAGCGUUAUCCGGAUUCACUGGGCGUAAAGCGCGUGCAGGUGGCUUGGUAAGUUAGGCGUGAAAUCUCCCGGCUCAACUGGGAGAGGUCGUCUAAUACUACCGGGCUUGAGAGCAGAAGAGGAAGAUGGAAUUCCCGGUGUAGUGGUGAAAUGCGUAGAUAUCGGGAGGAACACCAGUGGCGAAGGCGAUCUUCUGGUCUGUUUCUGACACUCAGACGCGACAGCUAGGGUAGUAAACGGGAUUAGAGACCCCGGUAAUCCUAGCCGUAAACGAUGUAAACUUGGCGUUGGUGGGUUAAACUCCAUCAGUGCCGCAGCAAACGC